rnacentral:rRNA from 1 species
AGAGUUUGAUCAUGGCUCAGGAUGAACGCUGGCGGCGUGCUUAACACAUGCAAGUCGAACGGACUUUUCAUGAAACCUAGUGAUUGAAAAGUUAGUGGCGGACGGGUGAGUAACGCGUGGGUAACCUGCCUCACACUGGGGGAUAACACUUAGAAAUAGGUGCUAAUACCGCAUAAGCGCACGAAAGCGCAUGCUUUUGUGUGAAAAACUCCGGUGGUGUGAGAUGGACCCGCGUCUGAUUAGCUGGUUGGCGGGGUAACGGCCCACCAAGGCGACGAUCAGUAGCCGGCCUGAGAGGGUGAACGGCCACAUUGGGACUGAGACACGGCCCAAACUCCUACGGGAGGCAGCAGUGGGGAAUAUUGCACAAUGGGGGAAACCCUGAUGCAGCGACGCCGCGUGAGUGAAGAAGUAUUUCGGUAUGUAGAGCUCUAUCAGCAGGAAAGAAAAUGACGGUACCUGACUAAGAAGCCCCGGCUAACUACGUGCCAGCAGCCGCGGUAAUACGUAGGGGACAAGCGUUAUCCGGAUUUACUGGGUGUAAAGGGAGCGUAGACGGUUAUGCAAGUCUGAAGUGAAAUGCGGGGGCUUAACCCCUGAACUGCUUUGGAAACUGUAAAACUGGAGUGCAGGAGAGGUAAGUGGAAUUCCUAGUGUAGCGGUGAAAUGCGUAGAUAUUAGGAGGAACACCAGUGGCGAAGGCGGCUUACUGGACUGUAACUGACGUUGAGGCUCGAAAGCGUGGGGAGCAAACAGGAUUAGAUACCCUGGUAGUCCACGCCGUAAACGAUGAUUACUAGGUGUCGGUGAGUAUAGACUCAUCGGUGCCGUCGCAAACGCAAUAAGUAAUCCACCUGGGGA